GUGCUUGCUUUGGCAGCACAUCAGUUAAAAUUAAAAAGAUACAGAUAUUAGCAAGGCCCCUGCACAAGGACGACAUGAAAAUCUGUAAAGCUUCCCAUAUAUUU